rnacentral:rRNA from 1 species
GUCCACGCCGUAACUAUGGGUGCUAGCCGUCGGAUAGCUUGCUAUUCGGUGGCGCAGCUAACGCAUUAAGCACCCGCCUGGGAGUACGGCCGCAAGGUUAAACUCAAAGGAAUUGACGGGCCCGCACAAGCGGUGGAGCAUGUGGUUUAAUUCGACGCAACGCGAAGAACCUUACCAGCUCUUGACAUUUCCUGACUGUUUCCAGAGAUGGAUUCGUCCCAGCAAUGGGCAGGAGGACAGGUGCUGCAUGGCUGUCGU